UACGGAGGGUGCAAGCGUUGUCCGGAAUCACUGGGCGUAAAGGGCGCGUAGGCGGCUCAUGAAGGCUGUGGUGAAAGUCCGGGGCUCAACCUCGGAUCGGCCGUGGCGACUCGUGGGCUGGAGCACUGUAGAGGCGGGUGGAAUUCCGGGUGUAGCGGUGAAAUGCGUAGAUAUCGGAAGGAACACCUGUGGCGAAAGCGGCUCACUGGACCAUUACUGACGCUGAGGCACGAAAGCUAGGGGAGCAAACAGG
rnacentral:rRNA from 1 species